ensembl:lncRNA
CACAUACAUCAUAAAGAUAUACCAUUCUUCCUACAACUUUUCCAUGGUGAGGGGGAAACAGGAAGGGGUGAAUUGCCAUAAGGUUUCAAAGACUUCUGCUUAGAAAUGUCAUAUUGGCCAAAGCGUGUCACAUCUUCAAGAAAGCAGCGAAGGACAAACUUAACAAAAGGUCAAUAAAAGGAGAACUGGAGCAAAGCCAAUGACCACCACACUCUAAAAUCAUCAGGUCUGAUCGGCAAUUAGUAGAAAAGUCAGGACUGCUUUAUUGGACUUUCAAACCAAAAGUACGGAAUAAGAAAUUUUACACUGUCCCAUUCAGAAGAAUGAGUACCAGAUGUUGCAAACCAAUCUAACUUGGUAAUUCACAAUUGUUGGGUUAUUUGGGGUAGAUAUUGCUAGCUUUAAUAAAUUUCCUUACCUGCAGCCUUGAUGUUGAGUAUAAUAAUGCUGUGAAUAUUGAAGAUGAAACCAUGCCAGAUGUGCAAACUUUUGACAGUAGGAAGCCAUAAAAAUU